AGCGUCUUUAACAGACAGUCCAGAGAGGCUGAGAAGACAUAAUAUGAGCGUGUAGACCAUAUUUGUAUGGUACUAGUGUAUACUCAUGUCUUCUAAAGACGUGAGUAUUUUUUU
rfam:Staphylococcus aureus C0673 genomic scaffold aedLz-supercont1.1, whole genome shotgun sequence.